GCCGCUAUAGCUCAGUGGCAGAGCACUUCAUUGGUAAUGAAGAGGUCGACGGUUCAAUCCCAUCUAGCGGCA
rnacentral:tRNA from 1 species